UCUGCUCCUCGGCUUCUUACCGUUGUUUGCAAACUUGAAUGUCCACUUUGGUCUAACUAUGUAGUAUCUGAUACGGAUCCUAUUUGGAUCCAAGAUAUUAAACUUAUUUUUGCAAUGCGGCGGAGUGCUUGAAGCUUGCUUCACCUCCGCCACGGGUUGGCCCGGUAUUGCACUACCUCCGGGAUCGGCCCACUCACC